GACAAAAGGUGCGAGGCAGUUAGUAGUGCAGGACGCGUUACUAAUAAUGGUCUCAGAGUGAUUAUACAACUCUGCAUUGACACCAACAACAUAUGUGGGUAUGUCACCCUUCCCCGGGGCUGUAAUGAGCACCUUCUUAGCUCCGGCUUCAAGAUGUUUGCCAGCACCAUCUCUGUCCACAAACACCCCGGUUCCUUCAAUCACCAAAUCGAUUCCUAGUUCCCUGUAAGUUUUUGUAGAACAAAUCUCUGUUAAAAUGUGACAAUCACAAGUCAAUAACAACAGUAAUGAACACAGACUAGGUGUAAAUACCCCCAGGGAAGGUUGCUUGGGUUGCGGUCUGAGACAACCUGGAUGACCUUCCCAUCAACAGAGAUGCCAUCAGUACCAACAGGCUUGACAUCUGCAUCAAAGAUCCCGAGGGUGGAGUCAUACUUGAGAAGGUGAGACGCUUGCUUAACACCGCCAGUGUCAUUGAUGGCAAUGACAUCG
rnacentral:lncRNA from 1 species